rnacentral:rRNA from 1 species
UUGGUGACCAGCGGAGGGAUCAUUGCUGGAACGCG